ACCCGCUUCCCUUGGUAAUGGGGGUUAACGUUCGGAACGGAACGCUAAUACCGCAUACGUCCUACGGGAGAAAGCAGGGGAUCUUCGGACCUUGCGCUAUCAGAUGAGCCUAGGUCGGAUUAGCUAGUUGGUGAGGUAAUGGCUCACCAAGGCUACGAUCCGUAACUGGUCUGAGAGGAUGAUCAGUCACACUGGAACUGAGACACGGUCCAGACUCCUACGGGAGGCAGCAGUGGGGAAUAUUGGACAAUGGGCGAAAGCCUGAUCCAGCCAUGCCGCGUGUGUGAAGAAGGUCUUCGGAUUGUAAAGCACUUUAAGUUGGGAGGAAGGGCAUUAACCUAAUACGUUAGUGUUUUGACGUUACCGACAGAAUAAGCACCGGCUAACUCUGUGCCAGCAGCCGCGGUAAUACAGAGGGUGCAAGCGUUAAUCGGAAUUACUGGGCGUAAAGCGCGCGUAGGUGGUUUGUUAAGUUGAAUGUGAAAUCCCCGGGCUCAACCUGGGAACUGCAUCCAAAACUGGCAAGCUAGAGUAUGGUAGAGGGUAGUGGAAUUUCCUGUGUAGCGGUGAAAUGCGUAGAUAUAGGAAGGAACACCAGUGGCGAAGGCGACUACCUGGACUGAUACUGACACUGAGGUGCGAAAGCGUGGGGAGCAAACAGGAUUAGAUACCCUGGGUAGUCCACGCCGUAAACGAUGUUCAACUAGCCGUUGGGAGUCUUGGACCUUCUUAGUGGCGCAGCUAACGCAUUUAAGUUUGACCGCUCUGGGGGAGUACGUGCCGCUAGGUUAAAACUCAUAUUGAAUUUGACUGGGGGCCCCGCACAGCUCGUUG
rnacentral:rRNA from 1 species